rnacentral:rRNA from 1 species
UACGUAGGCGGAAAAUUAAGUCAGUAGUGAAAUCCUGCAGCUUAACUGUAGAACUGUUAUUGAUACUGGUUUUCUUGAAUAUAGUUGAAGUAGGCGGAAUGUGUAAUGUAGCGGUGAAAUGCUUAGAUAUUACACAGAACACCGAUUGCGAAGGCAGCUUGCUAAACUAAUAUUGACGCUGAUGCACGAAAGCGUGGGGAGCGAACAGGAUUAGAUACCCUGGUAGUCC